AGUGAACGCUGGCGGUAGGCCUAACACAUGCAAGUCGAACGGCAGCACAGUAAGAGCUUGCUCUUACGGGUGGCGAGUGGCGGACGGGUGAGGAAUACAUCGGAAUCUACUUUUUCGUGGGGGAUAACGUAGGGAAACUUCCGCUAAUACCCCAUCCGACCUACGGGUGAAAGCAGGGGAUCUUCGGACCUUGCGCGUUUGAAUGAGCCGAUGUCGGAUUAGCUAGUUGGCGGGGUAAAGGCCCACCAAGGCGACGAUCCGUAGCUGGUCUGAGAGGAUGAUCAGCCACACUGGAACUGAGACACGGUCCAGACUCCUACGGGAGGCAGCAGUGGGGAAUAUUGGACAAUGGGCGCAAGCCUGAUCCAGCCAUACCGCGUGGGUGAAGAAGGCCUUCGGGUUGUAAAGCCCUUUUGUUGGGAAAGAAAAGCAGCAGGUUAAUACCCCGCUGUUCUGACGGUACCCAAAGAAUAAGCACCGGCUAACUUCGUG
rnacentral:rRNA from 1 species